rnacentral:RNase_P_RNA from 2 species
UGAGUUGGACGGGCAAUCGCUGCCUUGUUCGUGUGCUUCUGCAUACUGGGCGAGGGGGAGGAAAGUCCGAGCUCCAUAGGACAGGGUGCCAGGUAACGCCUGGAGAGCGAAGGCUCAUGACUAGUGCAACAGAGAGCAAACCGCCUAAGCGAUGAUUCGCCGGCAAGGGUGAAAGGGUGUGGUAAGAGCACACCGCUUUAUCAGUAAUGAUAAAGGCAUGGUAAACUCCACCCGGAGCAAGGUCAAAUAGGUUCCCACUUGGUGUUGUCCGCAUCGGGGACGGGUUGACUGCUGGAACCUGUGGGCGACUGCAGGUCUAGAUGAAUGAUUGCCACCGCUUCGCGGAACAGAACUCGGCUUACAGUCCAACUCAUUCU